UACAGGGACUGCAAGCGUUAUUCGGAUUCACUGGGCGUAAAGGGUGCGCAGGCGGUUGGGUGUGUCAGAUGUGAAAUCCCGAGGCUCAACCUCGGAACUGCGUCUGAAACUACUCGACUAGAGUACUGGAGAGGGUAACGGAAUUCACGGUGUAGCAGUGAAAUGCGUAGAUAUCGUGAGGAACACCAGAGGCGAAGGCGGUUACCUGGACAGUUACUGACGCUCAGGCACGAAAGCAUGGGGAGCAAAAGGG
rnacentral:rRNA from 1 species